GAUUAAGCCAUGCAUGUCUAAGUACGUGCCGCGUUAAGGCGAAACCGCGAAUGGCUCAUUAAAUCAGUUAUGGUUCCUUAGAUCGUACCUUACUACUUGGAUAACUGUGGUAAUUCUAGAGCUAAUACAUGCAGCAGAGCUCCGACCCUUCGGGGAACGAGCGCUUUUAUUAGACCAAGACCAAUCGGGUCCUCGCGGCCCGCUUUCGGUGGUGACUCUGUAUAACUUUGGGCUGAUCGCACGGGCUCGUCCCGGCGACGCAUCUUUCAAGUGUCUGCCUUAUCAACUGUCGAUGGUAGGUUAUGCGCCUACCAUGGUCGUAACGGGUGACGGGGAAUCAGGGUUCGAUUCCGGAGAGGGAGCCUGAGAAACGGCUACCACAUCCAAGGAAGGCAGCAGGCGCGCAAAUUACCCACUCCCGGCACGGGGAGGUAGUGACGAAAAAUAACAAUACGGGACUCAUUCGAGACCCCGUAAUUGGAAUGAGUACACUCUAAAUCCUUUAACGAGGAUCUACUCGAGGGCAAGUCUAGUGCCAGCAGCCGCGGUAACUCUAGCUCGGGUAGCGUAUAUUAAAGUUGUUGCGGUUAAAAAGCUCGUAGUUGGAUCUCAGUUCCAGACAAGCGGUCCGCCUAACGGUGGUCACUGCCUGGCCUGAACAACCGGCCGGUUUCCCUGGAUGAUCUUCGUUGAUUGUCUUGGGCGACCGGCGCGUUUACUUUGAAAAAAUUAGAGUGCUCAAAGCAGGCGCGACGCCUGGAUAAUGGUGCAUGGAAUAAUGGAAUAGGACCUCGGUUCUAUUUUGUUGGUUUUCGGAACCCGAGGUAAUGAUUGAGAGGGACAGACGGGGGCAUUCGUAUUGCGACGCUAGAGGUGAAAUUCUUGGACCGUCGCAAGACGAACUACUGCGAAAGCAUUUGCCAAGUAUGUUUCCAUUAAUCAAGAACGACAGUUAGAGGUUCGAAAGCGAUCAGAUACCGCCCUAGUUCUAACCAUAAACGAUGCCAACCAGCGAUCCGCCUGGGCUCCUCAAAUGACUCGGCGGGCAGCU
rnacentral:rRNA from 1 species